rnacentral:rRNA from 1 species
GACGAACGCUUGCGGCGUGCUUAACACAUGCAAGUCGAACGGAAAGGCCCUGCUUUUGUGGGGUGCUCGAGUGGCGAACGGGUGAGUAACACGUGAGUAACCUGCCCUUGACUUUGGGAUAACUUCAGGAAACUGGGGCUAAUACCGGAUAGGAGCUCCUGCUGCAUGGUGGGGGUUGGAAAGUUUCGGCGGUUGGGGAUGGACUCGCGGCUUAUCAGCUUGUUGGUGGGGUAGUGGCUUACCGAGGCUUUGACGGGUAGCCGGCCUGAGAGGGUGACCGGCCACAUUGGGACUGAGAUACGGCCCAGACUCCUACGGGAGGCAGCAGUGGGGAAUAUUGCACAAUGGGCGGAAGCCUGAUGCAGCAACGCCGCGUGCGGGAUGACGGCCUUCGGGUUGUAAACCGCUUUCGCCUGUGACGAAGCGUGAGUGACGGUAAUGGGUAAAGAAGCACCGGCUAACUACGUGCCAGCAGCCGCGGUGAUACGUAGGGUGCGAGCGUUGUCCGGAUUUAUUGGGCGUAAAGGGCUCGUAGGUGGUUGAUCGCGUCGGAAGUGUAAUCUUGGGGCUUAACCCUGAGCGUGCUUUCGAUACGGGUUGACUUGAGGAAGGUAGGGGAGAAUGGAAUUCCUGGUGGAGCGGUGGAAUGCGCAGAUAUCAGGAGGAACACCAGUGGCGAAGGCGGUUCUCUGGGCCUUUCCUGACGCUGAGGAGCGAAAGCGUGGGGAGCGAACAGGCUUAGAUACCCUGGUAGUCCACGCUGUAAACGGUGGGUACUAGGUGUGGGGUCCAUUCCACGGGUUCCGUGCCGUAGCUAACGCUUUAAGUACCCCGCCUGGGGAGUACGGCCGCAAGGCUAAAACUCAAAGGAAUUGACGGGGCCCCGCACAAGCGGCGGAGCAUGCGGAUUAAUUCGAUGCAACGCGUAGAACCUUACCUGGGUUUGACAUGGAUCGGGAGUGCUCAGAGAUGGGUGUGCCUCUUUUGGGGUCGGUUCACAGGUGGUGCAUGGCUGUCGUCAGCUCGUGUCGUGAGAUGUUGGGUUAAGUCCCGCAACGAGCGCAACCCUUGUUCACUGUUGCCAGCACGUUAUGGUGGGGACUCAGUGGAGACCGCCGGGGUCAACUCGGAGGAAGGUGGGGAUGACGUCAAGUCAUCAUGCCCCUUAUGUCCAGGGCUUCACGCAUGCUACAAUGGCUGGUACAGAGAGUGGCGAGCCUGUGAGGGUGAGCGAAUCUCGGAAAGCCGGUCUCAGUUCGGAUUGGGGUCUGCAACUCGACCUCAUGAAGUCGGAGUCGCUAGUAAUCGCAGAUCAGCAACGCUGCGGUGAAUACGUUCCCGGG